GUACAUUAUUAUACGUUAAGUUUAAUACCCUGUGGAAAUAUUUGAUAUUUUUUAGCAAUCUUACUAACAGUUAGACAUUAUAUAUUUUGAAAGGCAUACAUAAAUAUGUAUGAUUUCUCCUAAAAAAAUUUUGAAAAGUUUUAAACUGGAAAAUUGUUAAUUUCAGAAAAUUUAAGUUUCCAGAUGGCAGAGUCACGUGCUCCCAGAGAUUUAGGCGACCUUCUGAACUGCACGAUUUGUUUGGACGAGCCAGCCUCGCCAAUCCACAGCUGGUCACAUAAUUUGCGUCGACAAAGUGAAAAAGUGUGGCAUGUGUCAGGCGGACUUGAAGGUGUCCGACCUUGCAGAACGACUUUCUCGACAGUUUGACUUCAAAUUGACAUGUCGAAACGAAAAUGCCGGUUGAAAAGAAGUCGUUGCUGCUGCAGAGAUGAAAACUCAUCUCAAAAAUUGUUAUUACCGUGAAAUUAUUUGCACCGAGUGGAAAAAUGAAUUCUGUGGGAAAUCUAAGGUAGCCAUGCCGAUUACGCCAAACAUUUACAAGAUCGCCACAAGUGUAUCGUGGGCACCAGAAAUUUCACGUUGCCGUUGACGGAUGGGAAUAUAAUCCACAAAGCUGGCGCGUUAUUUCCAACCGGAAUUCUUGAAAAGGACGGGGAAGUUUUUCUCCAACUCAGCCACAUUGGUGAAGAUGCAUCAGUUUACAUUUGGAUGACCGUGUUGGGAAGCAAGGAAACGGCGGAGGAAUACAUGUUUGCUUUGAAUUGCAGAAAACACUCGAAGGAGAGAAGAAGGUCGUAGCCACGUGGUCCAUUCCAGUCGUUGCAUUUCACGAUCGAUCAAGAUACAUGGAACACUCGGCAUUCUAUGUCAUCAUUCCGGCUAGGAUGGCAAAAGAAUUUGGGACUCCUGUCCAAGAAGGGGGCGAGGAUAAGCUCCGUCUUGAAACUGCGUACCGAAUUGUAUAGAAAAUUUACCUGGCGGUAAUUAAUAAAAUUUGGUAAGGUAGGACGGUGACGUUGGUUGCAUUUCUUUUUUAAACCAUGAUAAAACGUGAAUCGAAAUUUAGAUUUUAUAUGCACUUUUUAUCAUUUUCUGAAUGUGAGUAGUGAAAGUAUCUAAACUUUCAUAUUUACAUCUGUUUGAUUUUGCAUUUAGGUAGGUCGACAAGGGGUGAAGACAUUUUUGUCUAAUUUUAGUGGCCUAAAGCUAAUUGAAAAAGGUUUGUAUGGUUAACUUAUCUAUACACUUUAAAUAUUUGAAUAUACUUAUUAAAAGAUAUGUAUUAAUAAA